AAAUAAUAGAGACACUCAUAAUAAGAAUGUAAUACAGAUAACAUAGCAACUAAUAAACAAAUUAAUCUCAUUCAGAAAUAAACAACACAUAAAGUGAAUGGUUACCAGCCUCCAACUAGCACUUUAAAACCCUUCCUGUGGUCCUGAAUGGGCACUGAUCACAGCAAGCUGUUGCUACAUGCAGUGGUGGAACUACUGCCAGUGGAGCUGGUGCAGCUGCACCAGUGCCCCACUCUUUUGGGGGCUCAUGGACACACAAAGGGUAUUAUUCCUCUAUCGCUGUACAGG